CGUCGUGGCUAUACCCCGGAGGUCACACCCGUUCCCAUCCCGAACACGGCCGUUAAGCUCCGGAGGGCCGAUGAUACUCCCUCGCACAGAGGCGGAAAAGUAGGUCGCUGCGACGU
rnacentral:rRNA from 1 species